rnacentral:rRNA from 1 species
UGGGGAAUAUUGCGCAAUGGGCGAAAGCCUGACGCAGCGACGCCGCGUGUGGGAUGAAGGUCUUCGGAUUGUAAACCACUGUCGGGAGGGACGAAUGCGCCGCAAGGCGAGUGACGGUACCUCCAAAGGAAGCACCGGCUAACUCUGUGCCAGCAGCCGCGGUAAUACAGAGGGUGCGAGCGUUGUCCGGAAUCACUGGGCGUAAAGGGCGCGUAGGCGGCCUGGUAAGUAGGGGGUGAAAUCUUGCGGCUCAACUGCAAGGCUGCCUCCUAAACUGCCGGGCUGGAGCACGGUAGAGGCAGAUGGAAUUCCCGGUGUAGCGGUGGAAUGCGUAGAGAUCGGGAAGAACAUCGGUGGCGAAGGCGGUCUGCUGGGCCGUUGCUGACGCUGAGGCGCGACAGCGUGGGGAGCAAACAG